rnacentral:rRNA from 1 species
CAAUAGCGUAUAUUAAAGUUGUUGCGGUUAAAAGCUCGUAGUUGAAUUUCUGCUUCGGGAAACCUUGUCAUUCAUUUGUUUGAUGAGCGUUUUCCUUAGCAUUCUUCUGGGAUUUGGCAUGCGCUUAAUUGUGCUACGCCGUCUCGGGACAUAUUACUUUGAGGAAAUUAGAGUGUUUCAAGCAAGCAUAAUGCUUUGAAUAUAAUAGCAUGGAAUAAUGUUAUAAGGCUUUUGUCCUAUAUUGUUGGUUUUAUGGACUUAAGUAAUGAUUAAUAGGGAUAGUCGGGGGGCAUUUGUACUUAACUGUCAGAGGUGAAAUUCUUGGAUUUGUUAAAGACAAACUAUUGCGAAAGCAUUUU